ACUACUGUGAGGGGAACAGCGUGAAUGCCCUUCCUCUCCCGGCCUUUCCCUCCAGGCAGUUACGACAGGCCAUUAGAGGUUAUUUACAUUCAAUAGUUACACCUGCCACACCUGUAAAGUCUUCUAAUUUUCGUGAGAUGUCUUCAGUCCACUCUUCUAUAGAAGCAAAGGAGCAUUCUCUAGCACCCAAAUACAACUAGAGAGAAUUCAGACUUCCAACAGAGCACAUGCAGGCAGUGAACAGGAAACACACACCAGGAGUACAGGUGCUCUGGGCUCUUAAAGGAGAAGAGCUAGAGAAAGGCUUUCAAAGAUGAACUGCAUUCCUAGUGCUCAUAGUGAGAACCCGCAGAAGCUAUGGGAAAGCUGUGUAAUGUCUGUAUUUACCAGGCCAAAAUAAAUG